AAUCAACGCUGGCGGCGUGCCUCAGACAUGCAAGUCGAACGAUUAAAGCUCUCUUCGGAGAGUGCAUAGAGUGGCGCACGGGUGAGUAACACGUAAGUAAUCUACCCUCGAGUGGGGAAUAACGUCCGGAAACGGACGCUAAUACCGCAUAAUGCAGCGGCACCGCAAGGUGACAGUUGUUAAAGAUUUAUCGCUUGAGGAGGAGCUUGCGGCAGAUUAGCUAGUUGGUAAGGUAAUGGCUUACCAAGGCUACGAUCUGUAACCGGUCCUAAGAGGACGGUCGGUCACACUGACACCGAAUAACGGGUCAGACUCCUACGGGAGGCAGCAGUCGGGAAUUUUGGACAAUGGGCGCAAGCCUGAUCCAGCCAUGCCGCGUGCGGGAAGAAGGCCUCGGUUGUAAC
rnacentral:rRNA from 1 species